CUAUGUUCCCACAUCUUUCUCUCGGUGUCUUCCACCUUCAAAGCUCGCUGUCCAGCCAUCGCCCCUCCUUUGCUCUGGUUCUCGUGUCGUCGUUGCACAUCUUCAACUCAGCACCCCGCGUCGCCGUCGGCACUCUCUCUGUGCCUAACAUAGCAUCAUUUUUUCCAUGGCCUGAAAACUAAUAAGGUUUAAGAUACGAGGUUAUCAGUUAAGGUCUGAGAAAAAAUAAUUUUUAGGGGCAAAUUUCUAUUUGUCCGGGGUUUUUAUGAUGGAAGGGCAGUUUGUGGGCACCGAGAUUCAUGGCUUCCAUACAUUGCAAGUUUUGGAUGUUCAAAAG